UUUUUCGGGCCAGAAACGCCUUACUAUACUAUGUCGUUUUUUUCAGGCCAAAAACGCCUUACUAUACUAUGUUGUUUAUUUCGGCUCAAAAACGCCUUACUAUACUAUGUCGUUUAUUUCGGGCCAAAAACGCCUUACUAUACUAUGUUGUUUAUUUCGGCUCAAAAACGCCUUACUAUACUAUGUCGUUUAUUUCGGGUCAAAAAUGCAUUACUACACUAUGUCGUUUUUCUCGGCUCAAAAACGCCUUACUAUUCUAUGUUUUUUCGGGCCAAAAACGCCUUACUAUACUAUGUUGUUUAUUUCGGCUCAAAAACACCUUACUAUAACAUGUCGGUUUUUUUCAGCUCAAAAACGCCUCACUAUACUAUGUCGUUUUUUUCGGCUCAAAAACGCCUUACAAUGCUAUGUCGUUUAAAAACGCAUUACUAUACUAUGUCGUUUUUCUCGGCUCAAAAACGCCUUACUAUACUGUUUUUUCGGGCCAAAAACGCCUUUCUAUAAUAUGUCGUUUAGUAAGGCGUUUUUGAGCCGAAAUAUACUAUGUCGUUUUUUUCGGCUCAAAAACGCCUUACUAUACUGUCGUUUAUUUCGGCUCUAAAACGCCUUACUAUACUAUGUCGGGUUUUUCGGGCCAAAAACGCCUUACUAUACUAUGUUUUUUCGGGCCAAAAACGCCUUACUAUACUAUGUCGUUUUUUUCGGCUCAAAAACGCCUUACAAUGCUAUGUCGUUUAAAAACGCAUUACUAUACUAUGUCGUUUUUCUCGGCUCAAAAACGCCUUACUAUACUAUGUUUUUUCGGGCCAAAAACGGCUUUCUAUAAUAUGUCGUUUUUUUCGGCUCUAAAACGCCUUACUAUACUAUGUCGGGUUUUUCGGGCCAAAAACGCCUUACUAUACUAUGUCGUUUUUUUCGGCUCAAAAACGCCUUACUAUACUGUCGUUUUUUUCGGCUCAAAAACGCCUUGCUAUACUAUGUCUUUUUUUCGGCUCAAAAACACCUUACUUUACUAUGUCGUUUUUUUCGGCUCAAAAACGCCUUA